rnacentral:rRNA from 1 species
GACGAACGCUGGCGGCGUGCUUAACACAUGCAAGUCGAACGGAAAGGCCCUGCUUGCAGGGUACUCGAGUGGCGAACGGGUGAGUAACACGUGGGUGAUCUGCCCUGCACUUCGGGAUAAGCCUGGGAAACUGGGUCUAAUACCGGAUAGGAGCCAUUUUUAGUGUGAUGGUUGGAAAGUUUUUUCGGUGUAGGAUGAGCUCGCGGCCUAUCAGCUUGUUGGUGGGGUAGUGGCCUACCAAGGCGGCGACGGGUAGCCGGCCUGAGAGGGUGGACGGCCACGGGGGAAGGGGGGAGUGGCCGAGGCGUGAGGGGGAGGGGGCGGUGGGGAAUAGUGGAGGGGGCGCGGAGGCGUGGUGCGGAGGGGUCGGGGGGGGGAGGCGCGCUGUCGGGUUGUAUACUCAUGGUGCGAUGGAGGAUUUUUUUGGUGACGGUGAUUAGAAAAGUGCAAGCGGCUAACUACCGGCCAGCAGCGGCGGUAAUAAGCGGACGAGAACAGUGCCGAUC